GACGAACCGUGCGAACGUUGUUCGGAACCACUGGGCUUAAAGGGCGCGUAGGCGGGCUGUCAAGUCUGGGGUGAAAUCCCGCGGCUCAACCGUGGAACUGCCUUAGAUACUGACGGCCUCGAGGAAGGUAGGGGCAUGCGGAACUGUAGGUGGAGCGGUGAAAUGCGUUGAUAUCUACAGGAACGCCGGUGGCGAAAGCGGCGUGCUGGACCUUUUCUGACGCUGAGGCGCGAAAGCUAGGGGAGCAAACAGG
rnacentral:rRNA from 1 species